rnacentral:rRNA from 1 species
UACGAAGGGGGCUAGCGUUGCUCGGAAUGACUGGGCGUAAAGGGCGCGUAGGCGGUUUGUACAGUCAGAUGUGAAAUCUAUGGGCUCAACUCAUAGUCUGCAUCGGAAACUGCCGGGCUUGAGUGUGGGAGAGGUGAGUGGAAUUCCUGGUGUAGCGGUGAAAUGCGUAGAUAUCAGGAGGAACACCUGUGGCGAAAGCGGCUCACUGGACCAUAACUGACGCUGAUGCACGAAAGCUAGGGGAGCAAACAGG